GUGGGGAAUAUUGCACAAUGGGCGCAAGCCUGAUGCAGCAACGCCGCGUGCGGGAUGACGGCCUUCGGGUUGUAAACCGCUUUUAGUAAGGAAGAAGGGCAGUCUUCGGGCUGUUUGACGGUACUUGCAGAAAAAGGACCGGCUAACUACGUGCCAGCAGCCGCGGUAAUACGUAGGGUCCGAGCGUUGUCCGGAAUUAUUGGGCGUAAAGAGCUCGUAGGCGGUUUGUCGCGUCUGCUGUGAAAUCCCGAGGCUCAACCUCGGGUCUGCAGUGGGUACGGGCAGACUGGAGUGCGGUAGGGGAGAAUGGAAUUCCUGGUGUAGCGGUGGAAUGCGCAGAUAUCAGGAGGAACACCGAUGGCGAAGGCAGUUCUCUGGGCCGUAACUGACGCUGAGGAGCGAAAGCGUGGGGAGCGAACAGG
rnacentral:rRNA from 1 species